CCUACGGGAGGCAGCAGUGGGGAAUAUUGCACAAUGGGCGCAAGCCUGAUGCAGCCAUGCCGCGUGUGUGAAGAAGGCCUUCGGGUUGUAAAGCACUUUCAGCGGGGAGGAAGGCGGUGAGGUUAAUAACCUCAUCGAUUGACGUUACCCGCAGAAGAAGCACCGGCUAACUCCGUGCCAGCAGCCGCGGUAAUACGGAGGGUGCAAGCGUUAAUCGGAAUUACUGGGCGUAAAGCGCACGCAGGCGGUCUGUCAAGUCGGAUGUGAAAUCCCCGGGCUCAACCUGGGAACUGCAUUCGAAACUGGCAGGCUAGAGUCUUGUAGAGGGGGGUAGAAUUCCAGGUGUAGCGGUGAAAUGCGUAGAGAUCUGGAGGAAUACCGGUGGCGAAGGCGGCCCCCUGGACAAAGACUGACGCUCAGGUGCGAAAGCGUGGGGAGCAAACAGGAUUAGAUACCCCCGUAGUC
rnacentral:rRNA from 1 species